rnacentral:misc_RNA from 1 species
GAGGUCACAAGUUCAAGUCUUGUUAGGCCCACCAGGUAAAAUUUAAUUUAAGAAUUAAAAAUUUAGUUCUUAAAUUAGACUUUAGUCUAAACGUUAUUUAAAAUAUCAUUGUUAAAAGUCACAAUCAAGUUUUAAUAAAAUAAAACAAUUUUACAGGACUUGUUGAAGCUUUAAAUAUAGACUAAUUUUAGCAAGUAAUUAAUCACCAAAUCUGUUAUCCCAAUAACUACAAUAGAUUAAUUAUUAAAUUUAACAUCACAAGCUAUUGAGCUUUUAAAACUUACUUAAUAGUAGUUAAUGCUUUCCGUCUUAUAAAUCUAUAUUUAAAUAUUGUAAAACAAACAUAAUAUUUAAGCUUUUAAAUUUAAUAAUUUAUUAUCUUAUAUAUCUGUUUUAUCUUUAACAAGGAAGUGAUGCAAAUUAGAAUAAUAAUCUAAACAAAAAUAUAAAAACUUCUCAAUUCCGAAAUACCAAAUUUAGUAUUUAAGUUUGUCUUUAAAGCAAAUGAACACAAUAUUUUAUUGUGUUGUAUUUUAGGCGGUUGGGGGAGUGCUUGCACUUCCCAUCGGAACAAGAGCUUUGCUCUUGCGAGAAGACUAAAAAAGGUAAGCUACUAAGAGCAAAUGGUGGAUGCCUUGGCUAGUAGAGGCGAUGAAAGACGUGCCAGGCUGCGAUAAGUCUCGGGGAGCCGUCAAGGGGCUUUGAUCCGGGAAUUUCUGAAUGGGGCAACCCAGUAUAUAGUGAUAUAUACUACCGCAAUGCGGAGCUAACG